UACCUGGUUGAUCCUGCCAGUAGUCAUAUGCUUGUCUCAAAGAUUAAGCCAUGCAAGUCUAAGUACGAGCUCUCGUACAGUGAAACUGCGAAUGGCUCAUUAAAUCAGUUAUGGUUCAUUUGAUCGUACAGUUUACUUGGAUAACUGUGGUAAUUCUAGAGCUAAUACAUGCGAGAAGCG
rfam:Ciona savignyi cont_48137, whole genome shotgun sequence.